UACAGAGGGUGCGAGCGUUAAUCGGAAUUACUGGGCGUAAAGCGUGCGUAGACGGUAGCGUAAGUCAGAUGUGAAAGCCCCGGGCUCAACCUGGGAAUUGCAUUUGAGACUGCUCUGCUCGGGUGCGGAAGAGGGAAGCGGAAUUUCCGGUGUAGCGGUGAAAUGCGUAGAUAUCGGAAGGAACACCAGUGGCGAAAGCGGCUUCCUGGUCCGACACCGACGUUCAGGCACGAAAGCGUGGGGAGCACACAGG
rnacentral:rRNA from 1 species